GCAGAGUCAAGACAGCUAUUGUGCCUUUUGUUGGUGCUGUUACUCCUCAGUCAAAGUGAGGCAUUGCAAUGCUACUGUGGAGGUCAAUACACAUGUCCGUGCUCAAUGGAGACUUGCUCUGAGUUUGACAAUUGCUGUGGCACCAUCAGAUUCCUCACAGACUCCACCUAUGCCAAGCGCUGUAUGUCUUCAAAUGAAUAUGAAAAAUAAUGAAU